rnacentral:rRNA from 1 species
CCUACGGGGGGCAGCAGUAGGGAAUCUUUCACAAUGGGCGAAAGCCUGAUGGAGCAACGCCGCGUGCAGGAUGAAGGCCUUCGGGUUGUAAACUGCUUUUAUAAGCGAGAAAUAUGAUGGUAACUUAUGAAUAAGGAUCGGCUAACUACGUGCCAGCAGCCGCGGUCAUACGUAGGAUCCGAGCAUUAUCCGGAGUGACUGGGUGUAAAGAGUUGCGUAGGUGGCAUAAUAAGUAGCUAGGGAAAUCUGGUGGCUCAACCAUUCAGACUAUUAGCUAAACUGUUAAGCUCGAGACCGUUAGGGGUAACUGGAAUGUCUAGUGUAGGAGUGAAAUCCGUAGAUAUUAGAAGGAACACCAAUAGCGUAGGCAGGUUGCUGGGACGGUUCUGACACUAAGGCACGAAAGCGUAGGGAGCAAACGGGAUUAGAUACCCGGGUAGUC